AAGAAAACAAUGAAUGAACAGAGGAAGGAGAAGAACAAAGAGUAUGAGGCUCACAGACCUGCACGGAAGUUGAGUAAAAAUUGGCAGGAAAAUCGGCCAUGGCUUAAAUUUGAAAAUGACACAAUGACGUGCUCAGUCUGUAUUGAUUUUUAUAGUAACUUAGGUGCAGGUAGCAGCACUGGCUUACGCGGGCAGAACAAAUUUAUAACAGGCUGCACAGAUUGAAAGAUAAGUGCAGUCCUGGACCACGAUACCAGUAAUUCUCAUCAAUAAGCCAUCUUGUCUUUAAAGACAAAAACUAUGACCAGUGAAGACAAGAUUGCAUCUGAUGCUGGAAAGGCACUCGUUUCAUUGAAACAUGCACAAAGACAAAAUCUUAGAAUUCUUUUUAUCAAUACCCAUGUCAUUAUCAAGCAUAACCGACCUCUAAGAGAUUUCCCUUGGUUGUGUCAGUUGGACACUUUGAAAGGUCUGGAACUUGGUGAUACCUAUCAAAAUGAAAAGGCUGCCUUGGACUUUAUGACAUCCAUUGGUCAGCCUACUAGGGACCAAGAAGUUAAAUUGAUUAACAGUGCGCACUUUAUUGCUUUCAUGAUGGAUGGUUCCACAGAUAUUUCUGGCGAUGAACAGGAGGUGGUGUAUGUUAGAACAUCAGUAAACGGAAAGGCUAUUGAACAAUUUUUGGGUAUUGGCUCCCCACAAAAUACAUGCUCAAAGGAUCUGAAAGAUUUCGCCGUCAGUAUGUUUGAUUCAUGUGGACUUGAUAAAGGUAAACUUGUAGCCAUGGGCUCAAACGGAGCAUCAAAUAUGGUUGGGAAACGAUCAGGGUUGGCUAUCUUGUUACAACAAGAUAUAAAUGAUGAAAUUAUCAAUAUGCACUGCUUUGCGCACCGCCUUGAGUUGGCAUUUAGGGAUGUGCUAAAAACAAAAACAAAAGCUGUAUGACAAACUAAUGACACUGCUAAUCGGCCUUUACUAUUUCUACAUGAAGUCUUACAAAAUAAAGAAAGGUCUGCUUGAUACAAUAAAAUCAUUGGAGAUUGAUGGCAUUUUACCAGAAAAGGUAACAGGGACACGUUGGUUGCCUCAUCUGACAAGAGCAAUAGACUGCUUAAUCAGAAACUAUACUGCAUACGAAGCUCAUUUAUGCAGCCUAAGUCACACAAACUCCAAAGCAGAGGGACUUGUAAAGAUUAUGCUGUCUAAAGAUGUUGUUUGCUUUGUUCUAUUCCUCAAGGAGGUACUGAAGCCACUUCAAAAACUCUCCCUACAGAUACAGAAACCUGAAUCUAAUGUAGCGGAUGCUGUCUGACGUGUUUCAUACCGAUUGUUAAGCCGUUCUUGGCACACUGAUUUUGACUGCGGAUAACUCCGUUUACCUGAUCAGGAUAUAGGGCUCACGGCGGGUGUGACCGGUCAACAGGGGAUGCUUACUCCUCCUAGGCACCUGAUCCCACCUCUGGUGUGUCCGGGGAUCCUUGUUUGCCCAACUAUCCAUUUUGUAUUGCUUAUAGGAGUUAUGAGAUUGAUCACUGUUCGUUAUCUUCACCUUGCAUUCACUGGGUGGAAGCAACAGUGGAACUAACACAGGAAUGCAAGAUGAUCAUGAGAUUAUGCUGUUCAUGAAGUAACAGUAGUUGCUAAUCACAUUAGUAAAACCCUGAAGAAUGCCAAUCCAAACUUCAGCACAGAGGAAGCAUUGGAUGAGUUAAAACUGAUGAAAAAAGUUUUGUACAAAGGGGUUUUCAUUAAAAUAUGCAUAUGGUAUUUAAAACUAUAUAUGGAGACAGGAACGCAUCCUGAAUAUUUUAUUUCUUCAAAGUGAAAUAUAAUAAGAUUAAUGCAAAUCUUUUAGUCUUACACUUUUUUC